UUUCAGUAUUAAGCUGUCCUGGGCUUUCACAUGAGGCAGGAGAAAUGAGGAUGGGGCAGCAUUUGCUCGGUGCCAGAGGACAGACAGACGGACAUCCAGAACCACCUGUUUCCUCCCAGGCUGAGGCAGGAGCUGUCUUCAAGGAGGGACCUGGGGCAGGGGUCCAGACCUUGCUGUCCUUAGUUCUGAAGGUCUUGCCAACAAGCCCUCCCUGUGGAAAAGGAAGAAGACCUCGGCCAUGAUCAGCAUCCACAAGUCACUCUGCUAUCAGAUUGGGGUUCCCUGAAGGGCACUCCUGGGCGGCGACGACACCUCCGGCACUGUGCCGGGCCUGGGGGACACAAAGUGCUGCGUCGUGCUGCAAGGAGCAGUCACAGCGCCUGAGGAAUGGCAUCAGCAUUGCAAGGAUGAAGAACUAGCUGUGCCGCGUGACGGAGGUUUAACCUCAGGACAUGGUGCCUGGAUGAGAGGUCCUGCUCCCUAUGUAGACAGUGCUGAGUGAGACUGUCCACACUCACCACCAUGGAGGUGGGAAGUGGAUUACAAACCCCUGUGCACAGGGUGCACACGGGCCACAGCUCCUUCCCCACUGCACACAGAUGUCCAGAACAUUACCUGGUAGCCUCUUUCAUAUUACAAACUUCUGGAGGAAGAGAUGAAAAAUUUCAAAUUUGCUCUGCAGAACAAAAAUUGUCCCUUUAAAGAUGAAUGUGCAGCUGUGCCCAGUGCUGAUGGAGUCAUAGCACAGACCAGGGAUUAGUAAACGGUGUGUGCCCCAUUAAGACUAAACAAGCCCCUGCUCAUUAGGGCCCUAAUUGCAGUGGUUAUAUCAAAGCCCCACAGACCUCACCAGUGUCUAGUUCAGCUCUGUGUGUUACAUAGGUGCCUGGCGUCAUCUUCCCACCUGCUGAAAUGAAAGAUUCUUGGAAUAUCCAUGUGUGUAAAACAUGUUUGUGAUGCAAAUAUGAAGGUACCCUUUCAUCCCGUCCCCACUUUGAUGUCAUGGUAG
rnacentral:lncRNA from 1 species